AUGUAUUAUUUCUCCCUAUUUCUCCCUCUAUGUGCAGUGAAAGCCCUGGGCAUUAUAGAAAACAAACAUCAGAAGGCUCUGAGAGGUGAAAAGGAAAAGAAAGCCCAUCCAGAGAACUUGAGACCCAAGGCACAGCAUGAUGGGAUGAAGCAGAAAAGCCAUGAUAUGAUACACUGGCAACCAAGUGAAGAAGGUGCUUCAAACAGAAGACAGUAAUCAACAAUGCCAAAUGCUGCUAGUAAGUCAAGUUAAAUGCCUAAAAAUUGAUUACCGAAGAGCCCCAGUGAAUUUGAUGAGGAAGUAGUGGUGACAGCCUGAGUGGAGAGAUCCAGAGAGAAGGGAGGAAAAAAUGUACGCAGCAAGACAUAACUCUUUUGGAAGAGCGAAUGAAAAGGAGGUAAAGAAAGAGAAGGGAAUAGGGGGUCCAGAGAGUAGUUUUUAUUUUAAGAUGAAAGACAACAGCUUGCUGUAUGCCGAUAGGAAGGAUUAGCUCAUUCAUUCCUUCCUUCAAGGACAAAUUUAUGGAGCUCGUCCUGUGAGCCAAGCACUAAGAACACAGAUAAAGACAGAUAAGGCUCUAGUGGAAAGCAAAGGUGAAACAGUUACAAGAAGAUAAACAUUCCAGCUGAGAUAAACAAUAGGAUGACAGGGUGAGAAAAGAUGGCCCCUGAGGAAAAGGGCCUGGUAAGGGUUUCCAGGGGGGACUGAAGUUUGACCUACUCCUAAUGAAGUAGGUGCUCACCAUGGAGAUACUCUUUGCAGAGAGAAAUAGCAAGGCAAAGACAAAGAGAUCUGAAAACAUGGGUGCAUUUGAGAAACUGCAGUCUGCAUGACCGGACUGACACACACAUGUGGAAGAGCAGUGAGAAGCCAGAUUCUAGAUGAUUCUAGAUGGCAAGCCAAGCACUAUAGAUGGUUUUCUGAUGCUGGCUAGGGAGAGCUUUCUAAGGACUUUAAGCAAGGGAAUACACAGAUACCUGCCUUUUAAA
rnacentral:lncRNA from 1 species